GACGAACGCUGGCGGCGUGCCUAAUACAUGCAAGUAGGACGCAGUUGCGAACGGGUGAGUAACGCGUAGGUAACUACCUAUUAGAGGGGGAUAACUAUUGGAAACGAUAGCUAAUACCGCAUACUAGUAGAUGGACCUGCGUUGUAUUAGCUAGUAGGUAGGGUAAUGGCCUACCUAGGCAACGAUACAUAGCCGACGUGGUGGGGUGGUCGGCCACACUGGGACGGGGACACGGCCGAGACGCCUACGGGAGGAAGCAGUAGGGAAUCUUCGGAAAUGGGGGGAACCUUGACCGAGCAACGCAGGGGGAGUGAAGAAGGUUUUCGGAGCGUAAAGCUCUGUUGUUAAGGAAGCGGUACUUAACCAGAAAGGGACGGCUAACUACGUGCCAGCAGCCGCGGUAAUAC
rnacentral:rRNA from 1 species